UCGGACGUGGUGCACGGUGCACCGCUGCACUCUAUUCGCGACUUGUUUGAAAAACUGUUGAAGCAGCUGCCGGGGUUCGACUCCCCGCGUCCGCA